rnacentral:rRNA from 1 species
GGUUGCCAUCAUAACAGCACUAAUGCAACGGAUCCCAGCAGAACUCCGCAGUUAAGCGUGCUUGGGCGAGAGUAGUACUAGGAUGGGUGACCCCCUGGGAAGUCCUCGUGUUGCAACCC